rnacentral:misc_RNA from 1 species
UGAAAGAUUGAAGUACCGGAAGGGGCCCGAAGUACCUAUAAAAGCCAUGUGGCCCGACCAUGGGUUCGUGUAAUUCACUACAAUACCGUCCAGCUGGUAUAAUGUAUCAGUGGAAGACAGGACAAUUUGCUGCCGUCACUGCUGAUAGAUCGCAACAAUAAAUAACAUCCAUGCGCGGAUACAAAUCGCGGCCUUGAGGAAAAUCCUUCUCAUGGUUGAUGCGGAAUACACGUACAUUAACCCAGCUCUGAAUCUGUUGACCAUGUCGAUGAUGCUUGCGUACAACACAGAGAGAACGGUCGUCCUAUAUACAUAUCAAAACUACCUUAAGCACACAGACAUGACUCUUCGACGCGACAACGACUAUAUAAGCAGCCAAGGCGUGUGUUUUGGAGCCAAGCUGGUCCGUGGCGCAUAUAUGCUCUCAGAACGAUCGCGAGCCGAGACGCUGCACUACCCGGACCCCGUGCACAGUACAAUCGAGGACACGGCCAAAAUGUACGGACAGGCUGUGGACUUCAUGUUCGGUCGUAUUCGGCAAAAUCCGGAAAGUAACACGGUGAUUGUUGCAACGCACAACGAGAUAGCUAUAGAACAUGCUAUGGCAAGGAUGCUUGACUAUAACAUAGCAAAGCGUGGAGGAUCCAUCAUGUUCGCGCAGAUCUUUGGCAUGGGAGAUUACAUAACGUACACUUUAGGAAAGGAAGGAUUCUUGGCGUACAAAUCUAUCCCCUAUGGAUCGCUGAGAGACACACUACCCUAUCUGUCGAGACGGGCACAGGAGAACAGGGCGAUUCUACAGGGGACCAGGCGAGAACGAGAACUACUCAAAGCUGCACUCCUAGACAGAUUGUGGCCGAAAAUAUUUACCAAAGGAUGCAUCUAGAGACCGACAUAUGACAGACAGAGUCAGAGAGACAUAUAUUUUCCGGGAGAGCAUGACUCGACCCCCACCCCUCCACUCUAAACCUCGCUCGCCACAGUCUAGACCCAACUUCCGCUAAACCUGCUGCACACGCGUCUGUUACGGACAGUAAAACAAAUGUGUGUCAGUUUACACAUAGACAAUGGAGGAAAUGCGUGCCGUUUUAAGUGCAGGAUGUGGGAAAAUUUAACUGAUCAAGACCUUCACUCUCUGUGUCGCCCUUACGCCCACAGCGAAAGGUAGACUAUUGUUUGUUUCUUUAGGUCACGGCCCGUGCAGUAUAUUCACUUCUCGUGCUAAUUGUGUACUGUGUAAAUGUCUAUUUUUCAUUAUAUUAUGAAUGUAACUUAAUUUAGAUUAUUUAUUAAUGUUUAGUUUUAUACAUUGUGAAUAUGUUACCAUGGGUUAUUUAUUAAUGUUAAAUUAAUAAAUAUUUAAUUAUAUGCUUGAAGUAGCGCUUAUUCAAUUAGUUUAUCCAAUUGUGUUUUCUUUAUUUUUUCUAUUUUUUGUAUCAACAUACUGCAGAGAGUAUAUUUGUAUAACUUAAGACUAUAUUUCUACAACUUUAGUAUCUUUUUAUGCGAAUGUAUGUAUCAUGGUGUUUUAUAUGUUUUAAGAUUAUUGUUAUUGUUUUACAGGGUUUUGUCAUAGACUACCCUCAAUAAAGGACCCUUUCACA